UGGCUCUCGCAUCGAUGAAGAACGCAGCGAAACGCGAUAAGUAAUGUGAAUUGCAGAAUUCAGUGAAUCAUCGAAUCUUUGAACGCACCUUGCGCCCUCUGGUAUUCCGGAGGGCAUGCCUGUUUGAGUGUCAUGUAGACUUCAAUCCUCGGGGGUUUCCCGAGGAUCGGACUUGGGCGUUGCCUCUGGCUCGCCUUAAAUGCCUCAGCUGUGGAGUGUCAGUGGACGUAAUAAGCUUCGUCCCCAAAGCACGAUGUGGCUCAUAACCCCAUCUUUUUGACUUGGACCUCAGAUCAGGUAGGACUACCCGCUGA
rnacentral:misc_RNA from 1 species